AUAAAUAACAAUGCCGGGCCAUUCUUGGUCUAGCAAUUGGAAUGAGAACAAUUUAAACCCCUUAUUGAGGAUCAAUUGGAGGGCAAGUCUGGUGCCAGCAGCCGCGGUAAUUCCAGCUCCAAUAGCGUAUAUUAAAGUUGUUGCAGUUAAAAAGCUCGUAGUUGGAUUUGUGGAUGAUCUUGGUGUCCACAUUAUUGUUGGUACUAUUGAGAUUGUCCAUCUUUGGGUGGAAUCUGUGUGGCAUUAGGUUGUCGUGCAGGGGAUGCCCAUCGUUUACUGUGAAAAAAUUAGAGUGUUCAAAGCAGGCUUAUGCCGCUGAAUAUAUUAGCAUGGAAUAAUGAGAUAGGACUUGGGUGCUAUUUUGUUGGUUUGCGCACCUUGGUAAUGAUUAAUAGGGACAGUUGGGGGUAUUCGUAUUCCAUUGUCAGAGGUGAAAUUCUUGGAUUUCUGGAAGACGAACUACUGCGAAAGCAUUUACCAAGGAUGUUUUCAUUAAUCAAGAACGAAAGUUAGGGGAUCGAAGAUGAUUAGAUACCAUCGUAGUCUUAACCAUAAACUAUGCCGACAAGGGAUUGGCGGGGUCUCGUUACGUCUCCGUUAGCACCUUAUGAGAAAUCACAAGUUUUUGGGUUCCGGGGGGAGUAUGGUCGCAAGGCUGAAACUUA
rnacentral:rRNA from 1 species